UCGAGAAUUUUUCUCAAUGGGCGAAAGCUUGAAGGAGCGACGCCGCGUGGGGGAUGAAGGGCUUCGGCCUGUAAACCCCUGUCAUUUGCGAACAAACCCACUCAUCUAAUACAUGGGUGGCUGAUAGUAGUGAAAGAGGAAGGGACGGCUAACUCUGUGCCAGCAGCCGCGGUAAUACAGAGGUCCCAAGCGUUGUUCGGAUUCACUGGGCGUAAAGGGUGCGUAGGUGGUGGGAAAAGUUCGAUGUGAAAUCUCCGGGCUUAACCCGGAAACGGCAUUGAAUACUUUCUUGCUCGAGGAUCGGAGGGGAGACUGGAAUUCUCGGUGUAGCAGUGAAAUGCGUAGAUAUCGAGAGGAACACCAGUGGCGAAAGCGAGUCUCUGGACGAAACCUGACACUGAGGCACGAAAGCUAGGGGAUCAAACA
rnacentral:rRNA from 1 species